ensembl:lncRNA
AUGUGUACACCUUUUUGGUCUCUUUCGCUUACCGUAGUUCCGCCCGGUCUUGGGUUGCUUAGUAACGCUCCUUCACCACAAACACUGACGGUGGCACGCGCCAUCCAGCAUUUCCAUCAACACCGGUUAACGAAGAAGCGCAGGAAACGCCGCGUUGUGUCAGUACAAACUAACAAACGGCAGUUAGGCUGUGCGAAACAUGGAGCUGGAUAUCCGUCAGUAUCUCACCAAGGCAAAGGAGCAGCAAGACUGCGCAGCGCUGCAGUCCGCCUACCGCCUGAUGGAGGACACGGCGGGAAGCAGCGGGAGAACUCCACGUGUUCCCCCAGAGUUGUACGUCGCUUGUGCCGAAGCAGCUCUGCAGGUGAGACGAGGGGGGGGUGGGGUCAUUUUCCUGUCUGCACUGUUACCAAAGUAAAUAAAACCGUAAAUAUUUAUUUAAAUCACAUUUGA